rnacentral:tRNA from 1 species
GGUCAGGUGGCCGAGAGGUUGAGGCAAUGGUUUGCUAAUCCACUGGGGUUUUCCCGCGUGAGUUCAAAUCUCAUCCUGAUAG